AGCCUCCCCCAGAGAGAAUAAAGAAGUCACAUAUGGGAUCUAAGGCUAGAAAAGCAGCAGGAAUAAAGGUGAAAAUUUUGCAUCGUUCUUGCCUACAGCCUCUCUCAACCUUAAAUUCCACCUUGUCUGGAAUCCCACUGCUUCCUUGGUUUUGGGGGUUUCUUCCAGUGUGCUGUAUUGAUAACUGGCGGUCUCCAGGGAGCCAGCAAAUCGUCUGCCAGUCGUUGGAUAAUUUUAAAGAAAAAGCAAGUCAUAUAUAUGGCCAAUCCUGAUACGAACAGAGAAUGUGAAAUCCUCCUUCAGGGAGCAGCGCCCCAUGGAGUGGCAAAACCAUUUGAGCUGGAAUAUGAUCUAACACCCUCACUUUGGACACCUGUCACAAUGUCACCAAAUUGUCUUAGAAGGAGCACCGUCCGUGAACCUCUCAAGUCUCAAGACUUCACAAGAUGCUGCCAGAGCUCCAGAGACCUAAUGGCUUUCUCAGCAAUGCCAGCCAUAUUGAGUUGAGCUCCUCCAACACUGACUGAUGGCACUGGUAACGUAGAGACUUCCUCAGGGUCUUCUUUACAAAGCUAUCGAAUAAAUUACCUCAAUGUCAGGAGGAGGAAGAUGUUCUUUCUCUGGAUGAACCUGGAUGCUUUCUUCUCCUGGACAAUGAGAAGCUUAUUUCAAGAACAUCGAAUUCCCCCACACUCCAUUCUCUGGGGCACCUGGUCACAAUGGCAGAGUCCUCGCUCUACAGUGAGGGGUUUCAUAAGUCCAAAAGGGGAGACGACCCCCCAUGCAGGUGGAGAGCUGAACAAGAACAAGAAGGAAGUUGUCAAGAGCCUCUGAGAAAGUUCACAAGGUCUGUGUCUUCCAAACAAGCAAGUUACACACCAAGGACAAAAAAUUCUUUCCUAUUCAAUGUCUAGCAGAUGUCCAACAAAAAAAGAUGAUCAUCUUAGCCCAAAGAUGAACAAACUUCA